UCUUGUGUCCUGGGCGGCUCCGGCGGUCGGUUUCUGUGAAGGGUGGUCAGGCGGCUUCCGGGCGACAAAACUAGGUUUUAAACGCACUCGAAAAGAAAUGUGUGUUUCCAGAGCCUGGCGGGAUAAGGCUUCCUCGUGAGUUGUAUUUAAGUGUCCACACACAGCGGGUUUGUGUGGCUGUUGUUUCCCCUCUCAGAAUAAUCAGGAGAGCUUUCUGCAAGUGCAUAGCAGUCAGCCGUAGGGGUCUGAAACUGCUCAGAAGCUGUGGUGAAAGCCGGUUUCCAUUAAUGGAUGUGAGACUCGAGUGACUCCAUUCCUGACAGUUUAUCCGCAGUGCUAACAGCACAGCCAUCGUUAGCCUCUGACAUCCACUCCGUGCUCUGCCUGAGGAGAGGUCUGUGGUGAUGAACGCAGCCACAGAGCCAGACACGGAUCCUGAGCAAAACGAGGCCAAACAAUAACCAGUUUUAUUAAAACCCUCCAAGUCAGAUGCUUCAGUACUUCAGCUGUUAAACCGAAUUCACCAGAAGACACUCCUGUGAAGCUGCUGGUGAAUGGGCCCAGCCCUGAGGGGUGCCAUAGAGAGCACCUAUCAACUGCAGAGAAACAGAAAAACACCCAAAUCCAGGGUGCGUGUGGCAGCACUGUCAGAGCUGGCCUCUGACAUCAGCCGCACAGGCUGCAGUGUGCUGUCCUGGGGUGCCUGCUCUGAGAUGCCUAACUUCUUGUCUGUGUUGUAAUGGGAUUGCUACAUAAACUCCUGAUGGGUCUGGCUGCCAAGCUACACAAGCUACAGACUCAUUGGAUGAUGCUGUCAGUCAGCCAGACUUCACAUGGGCACAAAUUGUACUUUCUACAGAGGAAGCGGAAGAGAAAAAAAACAAAAAGAAGAUGAGCGCAAGACCACUAAUCUUUGCACUGGUCUCUGCCAGUUAAAGUUUUACAUUACUGGAGAAGAACACAAGUUUCCAGGUGGUGAUGGUUCAUCGAGACAUCCCUUGGCCACUGCUCGCUGCCAGGCAGCAUCACUGGGGACAUACUUGUACACCCGCACUCAUCCUGCCCAAAACCACUGCUUUACCAAGACCUCCAGGCAAAGGGAAUUGUUACUCGGAGCCUUGAAAAGCCAUUAGACCUCCAUCACCUGCUGAACACCCCAGGUUUUAUUUACCAAAACAGAAAAGGCAUGGCUGAAUGUUUAAGUUUUGUGUUUUGUUGUGGUUGGCACCAGAAAUGUGUUUGCUCUGUGAUACGCUCAGAUACACACUCCACAGACAAGCCUCCUUUAAUACUAGUUUUUGUUAUUUUUGUUUCAAGUGAUGCUAAGAUUUUAAAAAAUCACAAACUACCUUAUGUGUAAACACAACGAUCCCCUUCUGUUUGUCAUUGUACCCAAAACUCUACGAUAAAAGAAUCACCUUCCAAAGCUGUGUAUUUGUCACUUCAAGAGGGACAAAACACCCAAAACCAGUCACCAGUUUGCAACAUAAUUUUAUAUGCUUUUAUAUGCUAACCACAGUAGAAACAUAAAGAGCUGUUGGCAAUCAGUGUCUGUGAUGGGGCUCAGAUGGGGUCUUAAGUGGUUUGAGUGUUGUGGUCUCAUGGCCGUCCCUGUGCUUUGCUGGGCACUUAUCUGGGCGCUAGGCAGGUUGCGCUUGGCACAGUGGGAGGUUGCUUGGUGGGUGAAGAAGGCACCCAAAGGUCCUUCCUGCCUGUGCUCCUCUGAACACUGCAUCCCACCAUAAGUCCCAUUGCAGCGAUCCCUGCCGGCACCAAACUGUGAUGCCCUGCCCAUGGGAUGCUUUGGGCGAGGGUGGCCCAUCCCAUACCCGCCACCCCACAUCAUCUCUUACCCUUGAUAAAGAUUCGAGUGUGACCAAGUCCUGUUGAUUUAAUCAUUUUUUAAUAAAGCCAUCGUUACUGAGUA